GCUGGGCUGCGGCGCUAGGCAGUGUGCGGCUAGGGUUUCUACUUUGGUGGAAUUUUAGUUAGCUGUUGGGUUUGGGCUUAGGGUUAGUUUUGUUUUAGGUUAAUUUUUGGGCUAUUAGAUUAUUGGGUUUUGGUUGGUCUAGGGCUUUUGUAAAUGGACUGAACCCUUAACUUUUAUUUUUGUUUUGUUUUUUGUUUUUUUAUUAGUUUGUGUUUGGUUUCUUUAGUGGGUCAGGCAAAUUUGGGCUUCUACAGCUGCCCCUCUUUGCUCAUUGUCGUGUAAGGGGAAUGAAACAAAUACUUUAAAAAGGCCAAUUUUGCCCGGUCUAGCAGAGUCUUGACUUGUUUUGGUGCUUCUCCUCUUCAAGUAGCUUUAUUCUGCUCCACUACAACUUCAGGAAGAUAAGACUGGAUGCAAUCUGCUCUUCAGAGAG
rnacentral:lncRNA from 1 species